GUCCAUUGUAAAAUAAACUCAGGUGAAGACUUCAUCUAUCACCUGACCUCCACAAGCCCCGUUCUGCCUGGAGACCACGGUGGAGCUGAGAGGGAAGGGAGUCUGGCACAAAAUAAGACUACGGUAAAUGUGUGCUGAUCUAAAGGAAUGGUCUCUGCAGAAGCAAACACGUUUCUAUAUGACACAAUAAAUGUGCUGAUGGUGACUGCCGACCCAGAAGUAUACACAACUUACUAUAUUCUGAUCAAAAGAAACAUUUGAGGGGCGCCUGGGUGGCUCUGUCGGUUAAGCUUCUGACUGUGAGUUUGAGCCCCACAUUGGGUGAGCUUGAGUUUGCUUCAGGUGAACUUGAGCCCCGCUUCGGGCCUGCUUUUAAAACUCAAAAGCCAGAAGAGAAUACCCCCAACUCCCUUGCAGCCACAUUCCUUUCCUGAGUACAAAUAAAGGAGCCUAGCUGCUGCUUAGAAAAGACCAAGAAGACAGGAGAAAAUGUUAAGGAAAGAGAGAGGGUCUGCAUGA